ACCCGACUCCAUGAAGCUGGAUUCGCUAGUAAUCGCGCAUCAGCCACGGCGCGGUGAAUACGUUCCCGGGCCUUGUACACACCGCCCGUCAAGCCAUGGAAGCCGGGGGUGCCUGAAGUGCGCUGCCGCAAGGAGCGCCCUAGGGUAAAACCGGUGACUGGGGCUAAGUCGUAACAAGGUAGC
rnacentral:rRNA from 1 species